CUGAGUGGAGGGUUCCCUCGGGGCCCAAACCUCCCACCCGUGUAUACCGUACCUUUUGUUGCUUCGGCGGGCCCGCGCCCCCGCGCGGCCGUCGGGGGGGCCCUAAACCCCCCGCGAGCGCCCGCCGGAGACCCCCAACGUGAACACUGUCUGAAGUUUUUGUUGUCUGAGUCGAUUGUAUCGCAAUCAGUUA
rnacentral:rRNA from 1 species